rnacentral:lncRNA from 1 species
UUCAACAAGGUCUCUAUUUUUUUAUUAACAAACUUUUAUUUUUCUUUUUGUUUUUCAAAACUCUCUAGCAAGCGCUGAGAAUAAUUUUCCGUUGGGGAGAAAGGAUGGAUGGUGCUGGAAGAAAUGAUUUGAUAGGUGGAACCUGGACUUUGAUGUGAUGGUUGGUGAAGAAAGGAUGUGGAUUGACACAUUAUGUACUGGGUUCUCAGAUGGGAUUUAUUCUUUUCAUAGUCGGCCAAAAAAGGAAGGAAGGAAGGUCCGAACAUCGUUUGGUAUUUC